rnacentral:rRNA from 1 species
GACGAACGCUGGCGGCAUGCCUAACACAUGCAAGUCGAACGGAGAUUAUUUCGGUAAUCUUAGUGGCGAACGGGUGAGUAACGCGUGGGCAACCUGCCCUCUAGAUGGGGACAACAUCCCGAAAGGGGCGCUAAUACCGAAUGUGACAGCAAUCUCGCAUGAGGAUGCUGUGAAAGAUGGCCUCUAUUUAUAAGCUAUCGCUAGAGGAUGGGCCUGCGUCUGAUUAGCUAGUUGGUGGGGUAACGGCCUACCAAGGCGAUGAUCAGUAGCCGGUCUGAGAGGAUGAACGGCCACAUUGGGACUGAGACACGGCCCAGACUCCUACGGGAGGCAGCAGUGGGGAAUCUUCCGCAAUGGGCGAAAGCCUGACGGAGCAAUGCCGCGUGAGUGAUGAAGGAAUUCGUUCCGUAAAGCUCUUUUGUUUAUGACGAAUGUGCAGAUUGUGAACAAUGAUCUGUAAUGACGGUAGUAAACGAAUAAGCCACGGCUAACUACGUG